AUACGAAGGGGGCUAGCGUUGUUCGGAAUUACUGGGCGUAAAGCGCGCGUAGGCGGACUGAUCAGUUGGGGGUGAAAUCCCAGGGCUUAACCCUGGAACUGCCUCCAAUACUGUCAGUCUCGAGUUCGGGAGAGGUGAGUGGAAUUCCUAGUGUAGAGGUGAAAUUCGUAGAUAUUGGGAAGAACACCAGUGGCGAAGGCGGCUCACUGGCCCGAUACUGACGCUGAGGCGCGAAAGCGUGGGGAGCAAACAGGAUUAGAAACCCCAGUAGUCC
rnacentral:rRNA from 1 species